CUCAACUGAACACACGAUAGCUUUUCCUGUUCCGGUUCUCUUUAUCACCACAGCUUCACCUUCUUUUUUUCCACCAUCGUUUCAUCUCUAUUCUUUUUUCCUCACCAUCGUAGCCAAAACACUCUCCACAGAGUAUAGGUUGAAGAUGCCACUGGAGUAUACUCCUCUUUCCCAGCUCAAUUCAUCU